rnacentral:rRNA from 1 species
GACGGUAGGGCGCGAGCGUUGUCCGGAUUUAUUGGGCGUAAAGAGCUCGUAGGCGGCUUGUCGCGUCGACUGUGAAAUCCCGAGGCUCAACUUCGGGCUUGCAGUCGAUACGGGCAGGCUAGAGUUCGGGUAGGGGAGACUGGAAUUCCUGGUGUAGCGGUGAAAUGCGCAGAUAUCAGGAGGAACACCGGUGGCGAAGGCGGGUCUCUGGGCCGAUACUGACGCUGAGGAGCGAAAGCGUGGGGAGCGAACAGG